GAGAUUUCCCAACUUCGGUUAUAAGAUCCCUCAAAGAUGAUGAGGUUAAUAGGUUCGAGGUGGAAGCAUGGUGACAUGUGGAGCUGACGAAUACUAAUCGAUCGAAGACUUAAUCAA
rnacentral:rRNA from 1 species